GACGAACGCUGGCGGCGUGCUUAACACAUGCAAGUCGAACGGAAAGGUCUCUUCGGAGACACUCGAGUGGCGAACGGGUGAGUAACACGUGGGCGAUCUGCCCUGCACUUCGGGAUAAGCCUGGGAAACUGGGUCUAAUACCGGAUAGGACCACGGGAUUCAUGUCCUGUGGUGGAAAGCUUUUGCGGUGUGGGAUGGGCCCGCGGCCUAUCAGCUUGUUGGUGGGGUAACGGCCUACCAAGGCGACGACGGGUAGCCGGCCUGAGAGGGUGUCCGGCCACACUGGGACUGAGAUACGGCCCAGACUCCUACGGGAGGCAGCAGUGGGGAAUAUUGCACAAUGGGCGCAAGCCUGAUGCAGCGACGCCGCGUGGGGGAUGACGGCCUUCGGGUUGUAAACCUCUUUCACCAUCGACGAAGGUUCGGGUUUUCUCGGAUUGACGGUAGGUGGAGAAGAAGCACCGGCCAACUACGUGCCAGCAGCCGCGGUAAUACGUAGGGUGCGAGCGUUGUCCGGAAUUACUGGGCGUAAAGAGCUCGUAGGUGGUUUGUCGCGUUGUUCGUG
rnacentral:rRNA from 1 species